rnacentral:rRNA from 1 species
GAAUUGAUACAUCAGUCAUGCCUUAAGGGGCAUGAACUGGUGUAGCCAAUUUCUCACCUUCUGGUGAAUUGUGAUGUUCUUAAUUGGGUGUUUCAAUGAACUGGAAUUUUUUACUUUGAAAAAAUUAGAGUGUUUAAAGCAGGCAGUGAUUUGCUUGAAUACAUUAGCAUGGAAUAAUGAAAUAGGACAGUGGUUCUGUUUUGUUGGUUUCUAGGAUCACAUA